AAACUUUCAACAACGGAUCUCUUGGUUCUGGCAUCGAUGAAGAACGCAGCGAAAUGCGAUAAGUAAUGUGAAUUGCAGAAUUCAGUGAAUCAUCGAAUCUUUGAACGCACAUUGCGCCCCUCGGUAUUCCGGGGGGCAUGCCUGUUCGAGCGUCAUUUCAACCCUCACGCCCCGCGUGGUCUUGGGCCCUGCCGGCGACGGCAGGCCCUAAAGCGAGUGGCGGCGCCUGACGGCCCUGAACGUAGUACCAUCUUCUCGUUACAGGCGCCCGAGGGACGCUGGCCAGCAACCCCCCCCCACUUCUCCAUG
rnacentral:rRNA from 1 species